rnacentral:rRNA from 1 species
GGUGUCGUUCCCCAUUUCCAUUCCGAUAAGGCAGAGGGGAGAGGUCGAGCGGCGGAGGAGAGGAAGGCGAUUCCUUGUGUUCAUGGCGAUUUCGAGCUCAUCCACGGCAGGAUACUGACUUCUUCCUCUUGUUUCUCGUCGUCCGCGGCUGCUCUGGUUGGUUGUCCCCUCUCUCGCGCGCUUUUUGCCUGUGGUUUUUGUGCCUUUGUAGUUUCAGAUCUAGGUGAUUUCGCGUAUCCGCGGGCUGCGCAUGUUGCUGUCGCGGUGUCGCCUUUGGGGUGUGCGCGUGAAUUUCUGGUAGGAGCCUGCAGUGCGCCACGGGCAGUUUUCGCCGUGAUCCCGUGUGUUGUUGUUGUGGUCUCACACGAAAUCCCUCCCCCCUGCGGUUGUUUGGUUCUUGUUGUUGAUGUGUAGGUAGGCGUAGAGGCUAGUUUUCCUGCAGUUGAUGUUGAGGUAGGCGUUGUAGGCGUUAGUUUUUAGCGGCGGAUCCCGUAGCUUGUCCCUGAAUAGUUCCUGUUUGUAGCCCCAGAAUUUUGUCAUGUUAGUCUCGUUUUCUACCAUGUUGUUGUUCAUCCCAGAUGUUUUACUGAACAUCUCUAUGUAUUUUGCUCCUUUUGUUGUGCAUUUUCCUGAAUUUCGUGCUUGUUUUUCAGUGUUUUCUCCAUAAUAGGAAGUGUAUGUAAGAUCAAGGGUCUGCAGUGGUAUGCGCAUGAAGUUCUGCUGUGCAUUUUGUCUACCUUCAUCUCUGUGCAGUUGACCUAUAUGCAUCUCUAUGCUGUAGAACUUCACUGCUUGCUUAUGUGCCUCAUGUAGCUUUGCUGUACUUUCUUCUUUUUUAGUUAAUAUUGUACCCCUUGCAGUAUUUUGCCCAGUGUUUAUGUUGUCAUAGUUGAUGUGCAACUUUCUCCCUAAUUAGUGUGUGGGUAUUGUAUCCUUUGGCCUUUGUAAAUAUUGUAUCCUUUGGCCCUGUUCUAGUCUAUAAUACCCCUCUUGUUCUUCACUAUGCAUGUGUAGUAGCACUGCCUUUCUUCUUAGUGUGAUUGCUAUUGUAUUUUUUCUUAAUUUUUAUUUGAUGUAUCUCUGACUUAGACUGUACUUCCCCUAGUUUUCUUUUGAUGUAGUUGUAUGCCCGAUGAAUUUUUGUAAUGUAUUUUUUGAAGUUCAGUGUAUUUCCCUGGAGUUUUACACUGUAAUUUGUGUGGGUGAGGAAUGUAAUUAACCAUAUGGCUUACACUGCAACUAACCAUAGUGCUUACACUGUAAAUUAGCAGAGUUUUCCACUGUAACUAACCAUAUGGCUUACACUGCAACUAACCAUAGGGCUUACACUGUAAAUUAGCAGAGUUUUCCACUGUAACUAACCAUAGGGCUUACACUGUAAAUUAGCAGAGUUUUCCACUGUAAUUAACCAUAGGGCUUACACUGUAAAUUAGCAGAGUUUUUCACUGUAAUUAACCAUAGGGCUUACACUGUAAAUUAGCAGAGUUUUCCAC